CUACGGGGCGCUGCAGACGAGAAAACUUUGCAAUGUGCGAAAGCACGACAAGGUUAAUCCGAGUGGUUUGUGCUAAACGAACCUUUUGACAGUCCUAGAAACACUGUUGAAUAAGGGGUGGGCAAGUUCUGGUGUCAGCCGCCGCGGUAAAACCAGCACCUCAAGUGGUCAGGAUGAUUAUUGGGCCUAAAGCAUCCGUAGCCGGCUCUGUAAGUUUUCGGUUAAAUCUGUACGCUCAACGUACAGGCUGCCGGGAAUACUGCAGAGCUAGGGAGUGGGAGAGGUAGACGGUACUCGGUAGGAAGGGGUAAAAUCCUUUGAUCUAUUGAUGACCACCUGUGGCGAAGGCGGUCUACCAGAACACGUCCGACGGUGAGGGAUGAAAGCUGGGGGAGCAAACCGGAUUAGAUACCCGCGUAGUC
rnacentral:rRNA from 1 species